rnacentral:rRNA from 1 species
UGGGGAAUAUUGCACAAUGGGCGCAAGCCUGAUGCAGCCAUGCCGCGUGUGUGAAGAAGGCCCUCGGGUUGUAAAGCACUUUCAGCGGGGAGGAAGGCGAUAAGGUUAAUAACCUUGUCGAUUGACGUUACCCGCAGAAGAAGCACCGGCUAACUCCGUGCCAGCAGCCGCGGUAAUACGGAGGGUGCAAGCGUUAAUCGGAAUUACUGGGCGUAAAGCGCACGCAGGCGGUCUGUCAAGUCGGAUGUGAAAUCCCCGGGCUCAACCUGGGAACUGCAUUCGAAACUGGCAGGCUAGAGUCUUGUAGAGGGGGGUAGAAUUCCAGGUGUAGCGGUGAAAUGCGUAGAGAUCUGGAGGAAUACCGGUGGCGAAGGCGGCCCCCUGGACAAAGACUGACGCUCAGGUGCGAAAGCGUGGGGAGCAAACAGG